CAGCGUUCUACUCUAUGUUCUCCGGCUACCGGAAGCAGAAGGUCCUAGUCUAAAAGGUUCCCCCCUGCACGAAAUGGGAAGGGACCUAACGUGAUUACAGCCUAGGGGCCAACAUGAAUCCCAGUGAGCAGUCCAAGCCACAAGCCCCUACCAACGCAACAAAAAGAAACACUCACAUCCUUGUGGGUGUGACUGGAAGUGUGGCUGCCUUAAAGUUGCCUCUUCUUGUAUCUGAGCUCCUAAAGAUACCUGCCGGAGAUGUGGAUGUGGUGGCGCUGCAGGUUAAACCGCC